rnacentral:rRNA from 1 species
UACAGAGGGGGCAAGCGUUAUUCGGAAUUAUUGGGCGUAAAGGGCGCGUAGGCGGUCCUUCAAGUCUCUCGUGAAAUCCCUCGGCUUAACUGAGGACGUGCGGGAGAUACUGCUGGGCUUGAGUCCGGAAGAGGUUGGUGGAAUUCCCAGUGUAGCGGUGAAAUGCGUAGAUAUUGGGAGGAACACCGGUGGCGAAGGCGGCCACCUGGGCCGGAACUGACGCUGAGGCGCGAAAGCGUGGGGAGCAAACGGG